GACGAAGACGUGACGCGGACCGAAAUAAAGUAGGGAAGCAUGUGAGCCAUGUGCCAAGAAAAGCCGCUAUAGAUCAUACCGUACCCGUACCGUAAACCGACACAGGUAGAUGAGGAGAGAAUCCUAAGGCCGACGGGAGAAGCAUUGUUAAGGAACUCGGCAAAAUGACCCCGUAACUUCGGGAGAAGGGGUGCCCACGCGAGUGGGCCGCAGAGAAUAGGCUCAAGCAACUGUUUAGCAAAAACACAGGUCUAUGCGAAACCGAAAGGUGAGGUAUAUGGGCUGACGCCUGCCCGGUGCUGGAAGGUUAAGAGGAGGAGUCAGGCAACGAAGCUCCGAAUUUAAGCCCCAGUAAACGGCGGCCGUAUCAAUAACGGUCCUAAGGUAGCGAAAUUCCUUGUCGGGUAAGUUCCGACCCGCACGAAAGGCGUAAUGAUUUGAGCACUGUCUCGACAAUGCACCCGGUGAAAUUGAAGUACCAGUGAAGAUGCUGGUUACCUGCGCCAGGACGGAGAGACCCCAUGGAGCUUUACUCCAGUUUGAUACUGGGAUUCGAUACUGAAUGUACAGGAUAGGUGGGAGGCUGAGAAGCGUGGACGCCAGUCUGCGGUGAGCCGCUGUUGGGAUACCACCCUUUGAGUAUUGGAUUUCUAACCUGCGCCCGUGACCCGGGCGGGGGACAAUGUCUGACGGGGAGUUUGACUGGGGCGGUCGCCUCCGAAAGGGUAUCGGAGGCGCUCAAAGGUUCCCUCAGAAUGGUUGGAAACCAUUCGCAGAGUGCAAAGGCAGAAGGGAGCUUGACUGUGACACCGACGGGUGGAGCAGGUACGAAAGUAGGACUUAGUGAUCCGGUGGUAUGAAAGUGGGAUUGCCAUCGCUCAACGGAUAAAAGUUACCCUGGGAUAACAGGCUUAUCACUCCCAAGAGUUCACAUCGACGGAGUGGUUUGGCACCUCGAUGUCGGCUCAUCGCAUCCUGGGGCUGUAGCAGGUCCCAAGGGUUGGGCUGUUCGCCCAUUAAAGCGGUACGCGAGCUGGGUUCAGAACGUCGUGAGACAGCUCGGUCCCUAUCCGGCGCAGGCGUAGGAUAUUUGAGAGGAGCUGUCCUUAGUACGAGAGGACCGGAUGGACAGACCGCUGGUGUAUCUGCUGGUGACCAACACCAUGGCAGAGUAGCCAAGUCUGGCAGGGAUAAACGCUGAAGGCAUCUAAGCGUGAAGCCCCCCUCAAGAUGAGAUAUCCCAAUAAGUAAGACCCCUUAGAGAGUAUGAGGUAGAUAGGCUUAAGGUGUAAGCAUAGUAAUAUGUUCAGCUGAUAAGUACUAAUAGGUCGAGGGCUUAUCGAA
rnacentral:rRNA from 1 species